GUGAGGAAUAUUGGUCAAUGGACGGAAGUCUGAACCAGCCAUGCCGCGUGCAGGAAUAAGGUCCUAUGGAUUGUAAACUGCUUUUAUUCGGGAAUAAACCUCUUUACGUGUAGGGAGCUGAAGGUACCGAAGGAAUAAGCACCGGCUAACUCCGUGCCAGCAGCCGCGGUAAUACGGAGGGUGCAAGCGUUAUCCGGAAUCACUGGGUUUAAAGGGUCCGCAGGCGGGCUAUCAAGUCAGAGGUGAAAUCCCACAGCUUAACUGUGGAACUGCCUUUGAAACUGAUGGUCUUGAAUUAAGUGGGCGUUGGCGGAAUAUGACAUGUAGCGGUGAAAUGCAUAGAUAUGUCAUGGAACACCGAAAGCGAAGGCAGCUAACGAUACUUAUAUUGACGCUCAUGGACGAAAGCGUGGGUAGCGAACAGGAUUAGAAACCCCUGUAGUCC
rnacentral:rRNA from 1 species